rnacentral:rRNA from 1 species
UCGAGCGGAAACGAGUUAUCUGAACCUUCGGGGAACGAUAACGGCGUCGAGCGGCGGACGGGUGAGUAAUGCCUGGGAAAUUGCCUUGAUGUGGGGGAUAACCAUUGGAAACGAUGGCUAAUACCGCAUAAUGCCUACGGGCCAAAGAGGGGGACCUUCGGGCCUCUCGCGUCAAGAUAUGCCUAGGUGGGAUUAGCUAGUUGGUGAGGUAAUGGCUCACCAAGGCGACGAUCCCUAGCUGGUCUGAGAGGAUGAUCAGCCACACUGGAACUGAGACACGGUCCAGACUCCUACGGGAGGCAGCAGUGGGGAAUAUUGCACAAUGGGCGCAAGCCUGAUGCAGCCAUGCCGCGUGUAUGAAGAAGGCCUUCGGGUUGUAAAGUACUUUCAGCAGUGAGGAAGGGGGUGUCGUUAAUAGCGGCAUCUCUUGACGUUAGCUGCAGAAGAAGCACCGGCUAACUCCGUGCCAGCAGCCGCGGUAAUACGGAGGGUGCGAGCGUUAAUCGGAAUUACUGGGCGUAAAGCGCAUGCAGGUGGGUUGUUAAGUCAGAUGUGAAAGCCCGGGGCUCA